rnacentral:rRNA from 1 species
GAACGGCAGCACGGGAGCAAUCCUGGUGGCGAGUGGCGAACGGGUGAGUAAUAUAUCGGAACGUGCCCAGUAGUGGGGGAUAGCCCGGCGAAAGCCGGAUUAAUACCGCAUACGACCUGAGGGUGAAAGCGGGGGAUCGCAAGACCUCGCGCUAUUGGAGCGGCCGAUAUCAGAUUAGCUAGUUGGUGGGGUAAAGGCCUACCAAGGCUACGAUCUGUAGUUGGUCUGAGAGGACGACCAGCCACACUGGGACUGAGACACGGCCCAGACUCCUACGGGAGGCAGCAGUGGGGAAUUUUGGACAAUGGGCGCAAGCCUGAUCCAGCAAUGCCGCGUGCAGGAAGAAGGCCUUCGGGUUGUAAACUGCUUUUGUCAGGGAAGAAAUCUUCUGGGCUAAUACCCCGGGAGGAUGACGGUACCUGAAGAAUAAGCACCGGCUAACUACGUGCCAGCAGCCGCGGUAAUACGUAGGGUGCGAGCGUUAAUCGGAAUUACUGGGCGUAAAGCGUGCGCAGGCGGCUUUGCAAGACAGAUGUGAAAUCCCCGGGCUCAACCUGGGAACUGCAUUUGUGACUGCAAGGCUAGAGUACGGCAGAGGGGGAUGGAAUUCCGCGUGUAGCAGUGAAAUGCGUAGAUAUGCGGAGGAACACCAAUGGCGAAGGCAAUCCCCUGGGCCUGUACUGACGCUCAUGCACGAAAGCGCGGGGAGCAAACAUGAUUAGAUACCCUGGUAGUCCACGCCCUAAACGAUGUCAACUGGGUUGUUGGACGGCUUGCUGUUCAGUACGAACUAACGCGUGAAGUUGACCCCCCUGGGGAGUACGGCCGCAGGGUG